GAGAAAGCAAGGAGAGAAGAAGAAGGACAACAAAAACAUAAGACCCCAAUAGAAAAGCAGACCACAUUUUAUCAACCGAUCCCAGCUGAUUGGAGCACUAUUUAUGAUGGCGGACCUGUGUCAUUCUUCGCUGGAUCGUUGAGCCAUCAGCAUCUGCCCUUGACCUGAGUGAGCGUGUGUGUAUUUGGAAUCUGCUGAGGAGAGGAGCUUGUAUAAGAUUAAUCCCUGUUUUCCCCUGGACCCUGAAGCCCCGGACCCCUUUCCCUGCCCCACUGUAUAUAUAUAUUCCCACCUGGUGUUUCACUGUAAAUAAAUGCACUGUC